rnacentral:rRNA from 1 species
UGGGCGCAGCCUGAUGCAGCGACGCCGCGUGAGGGAUGACGGCCUUCGGGUUGUAAACCUCUUUCAGCAGGGAAGAAGCCACAAGUGACGGUACCUGCAGAAGAAGCGCCGGCUAACUACGUGCCAGCAGCCGCGGUAAUACGUAGGGCGCAAGCGUUGUCCGGAAUUAUUGGGCGUAAAGAGCUCGUAGGCGGUUUGUCGCGUCUGCUGUGAAAGCCCGGGGCUCAACCCCGGGUCUGCAGUGGGUACGGGCAGACUAGAGUGCAGUAGGGGAGACUGGAAUUCCUGGUGUAGCGGUGAAAUGCGCAGAUAUCAGGAGGAACACCGAUGGCGAAGGCAGGUCUCUGGGCUGUUACUGACGCUGAGGAGCGAAAGCAUGGGGAGCGAACAGGAUUAGAUACCCUGGUAGUCCAUGCCGUAAACGUUGGGCACUAGGUGUGGGGGACAUUCCACGUUCUCCGCGCCGUAGCUAACGCAUUAAGUGCCCCGCCUGGGGAGUACGGCCGCAAGGCUAAAACUCAAAGGAAUUGACGGGGGCCCGCACAAGCGGCGGAGCAUGCGGAUUAAUUCGAUGCAACGCGAAGAACCUUACCAAGGCUUGACAUUCACCGGACCGCCUCAGAGAUGGGGUUUCCCUUCGGGGUCGGUGGACAGGUGGUGCAUGGUUGUCGUCAGCUCGUGUCGUGAGAUGUUGGGGUUAAGUCCCGCAACGAGCGCAACCCUCGUUCUAUGUUGCCAGCACGUGAUGGGUGGGGACUCAUAGGAGACUGCCGGGGUCAACUCGGAGGAGGGUGGGGGAUGACGUCAAAUCAUCAUGCCCCUUA